GAACAAAGUGUUCAAAUUUUAAAUUGAUAAGUGUCAACUUCUCAGAGAUCUGUGUCCGCCCCAUGGGGUCUGCACCUUCAAGGGACUGAAGCUUUAACCUAUUGCAUUUCAUUCUCUUAACAUGCGUUUGACUGUCAGGAAGCAAGAGUGAAGAAGAGACAUGGACCAAGAUACCGUAAACCUCUCUGAGGGCAUGCCUCAUUCAUCCAAAGACCACCUGCUGUGAUUCAUCUCUCACGGGUUCAACCUUCUCCCAAUAGAACCAACCUUCAAAGCAA